AUAUGGAAACCUAGUGAAAUAUCUGUUAGUGGCGGACGGGUGAGUAACGCGUGGAUAACCUGCCAUAUACAGGGGGAUAACACUUAGAAAUAGGUGCUAAUACCGCAUAAGCGCACAGCUUCGCAUGAAGGAGUGUGAAAAACUGAGGUGGUAUAUGAUGGAUCCGCGUCUGAUUAGCCAGUUGGUGAGGUAACGGCUCACCAAAGCGACGAUCAGUAGCCGGCCUGAGAGGGCGGACGGCCACAUUGGGACUGAGACACGGCCCAGACUCCUGCGGGAGGCAGCAGUGGGGGAUAUUGCACAAUGGGGGAAACCCUGAUGCAGCGACGCCGCGUGAGUGAAGAAGUAAUUCGUUACGUAAAGCUCUAUCAGCAGGGAAGAAAAUGACGGUACCUGACUAAGAAGCCCCGGCUAACUACGUGCCAGCAGCCGCGGUAAUACGUAGGGGGCAAGCGUUAUCCGGAAUUACUGGGUGUAAAGGGAGCGCAGACGGCAGUGCAAGUCU
rnacentral:rRNA from 1 species